CGAGUGAAGAGGGAAGAGCUCAAAUUUUGAAUCUGGUGUCUUUGGCGCCCGAAUUGUAAUCUAGAGAGGUGUUUUCCGCGUCGGACCGUGCACAAGUUCCCUGGAACGGGGCGUCAUAGAGGGUGAGAAUCCCGUACGUGGCACGGACUCCCGGUGCUCUGCGAUACACUUUCAACGAGUCGAGUUGUUUGGGAAUGCAGCUCAAAAUGGGUGGUAAAUUCCAUCUAAAGCUAAAUAUUGGCGAGAGACCGAUAGCGAACAAGUACCGUGAGGGAAAGAUGAAAAGCACUUUGGAAAGAGAGUGAAACAGUACGUGAAAUUGUUGAAAGGGAAGCGUUUGGAGUCAGUCGCGUCGGUCGGGAUUCAGCCUGGCUUUUGCCCGGUGUACUUCCCGUCAGACGGGUCAGCAUCGGUUUCGACCGAGAGAAAAGGGCGGGAGGAAUGUGGCUGUCUUCGGGCAGUGUUAUAGCCUCUCGUCAUAUGUCUCGGUCGGGACCGAGGAUCGCAGCGCGCCGCAAGGCCGGGGUUCGCCCUCGGUACGCGCUUAGGAUGCUGACA
rnacentral:rRNA from 1 species